AACCGCCCUGUGCGGAGCCGCACGCAGGGUGGUGUGGGGAGGGCUGGAGAGAAACUAGCCCUUACCCGAU
rfam:Methanotrophic endosymbiont of Bathymodiolus azoricus (Menez Gwen) isolate BAZMOX genome assembly, contig: contig52771